UUUUCUAUCCAAACAUAAAACCCGUAACAAAGAACUAGGCAGAGCAAAGAGGAAGAUUUUGUUUUCCAGAGAGAGAGGGAGAGAACGAGGGAGGCUCUUUUCUAUUUAUGUAAAGAAGCAAAUGUUUCCAAAUUUUAUUUUGUUUCUGUUUUUUCAAUUCUUUACUUAUUAGAUUCUCUUUUGUUUUUCUGCGUCUUCUGUUGUUUUUUUUCUAAUUAAAUCUUUUUCUGGGUAACCCCCUCCUCUCUGCUUCUCUCUGUCUCGAUUGAAAUACAGAAAAGUAUAUUAGGGUUUUAUCAAUUGCAGAUCAAAGCCCAGAAACCUCAGAUUUUCUGGGGUUUUCUCUAACCUUUUUCAGAUCUCUCUUGUUAAUAUAAGUUUGUUUCGUCUUCUGUUUGUCUUACCCUUCAAUUCAAAAUCAGAAAAGUUCACGAAAUUUUCGUCUUUUUGAAUUGUGACUUAUGGUCUGUAGCGAAACAUGCAUAAACUUGUUUGUAUUUCCUUUGUUGAAUUAUUUUGUAUAACGUUGUUUUCUUUUUAAAUGUACAAUUUGGACUGGGGUUCUAUCGAUCAGCUAUGAAAAUGCCUUGGUGUUGAGGAGUUUUCAGGUGGGGGCUUUGAUUUUUUUGUUGAGCUAAAUUAGGAUUAGGGCUUGGGUUAGGGUUAGGGCUUAGUAGAUAUGAUCAAACAGAUAUUGGGCAAGCUACCUCGAAAACCCUCAAAAUCAUCGAAUAAUGACUCAAACAAUGAUGCAGCUGUCAAUGCCUUCUCGUCUCUGAAUUCUUCCCAUGGACCCAAUUCCAUAAACGCCUCAAAGUCGUCAUCGGUUUCUGCAAAAUCCAAUUCGGGUUCUGGCGCUGCACGCAUGAACAAUGGGACCAUUGCCCCACAGAAUAAAUCUAAUCAAGGGAAAAAAUCGUCCACCGUUGCAGGCCAAGUGGGUCCCAUUUCGGCUUCUGGAGUUUACGAGCCAUUGCCUAACUUCAGGGAUGUUCCUAGUUCGGAGAAGCAGAAUCUCUUCAUUAGAAAGUUGAAUAUGUGCUGUGUUGUGUUUGAUUUUAGUGAUCCAUCUAAAAAUCUCAAGGAGAAAGACAUUAAAAGGCAGACUUUGCUGGAGCUUGUUGAUUAUAUUUCUUCAGUGACAUCAAAGUUCAGUGAGGUGACGAUGCAAGAAAUUACAAAGAUGGUGGCAGCUAAUCUGUUUAGAACACUUCCUUCUGCGAAUCAUGAUACCAAGAUUCUAGAAACUUAUGACCCAGAAGAAGACGAACCGACCAUGGAGCCAGCGUGGCCUCAUCUUCAAAUUGUGUACGAGUUUCUUCUGAGAUUUGUGGCUUCAACAGAGACUGAUGCGAAGCUUGCAAAGAGGUAUAUUGACCAUUCAUUUGUGUUGAAAUUGCUAGAUUUGUUUGAUUCUGAGGACCAAAGGGAGAGGGAGUAUUUGAAGACUAUACUGCACCGCAUUUAUGGGAAGUUUAUGGUACAUCGGCCAUUUAUUAGGAAAGCUAUAAACAAUAUUUUUUAUCGCUUCAUAUUUGAGACUGAGAGGCAUAAUGGGAUUGCAGAAUUGCUUGAGAUAUUGGGCAGCAUAAUUAAUGGGUUUGCCUUGCCAUUGAAGGAAGAGCACAAGCUUUUCCUUGUAAGGGCAUUGAUUCCUCUUCACAAGCCCAAGUGUGUAUCAAUGUACCAUCAACAACUUUCAUAUUGCAUCACUCAAUUUGUGGAAAAAGAUUUUAAGCUUGCAGAUACUGUAAUUCGGGGUCUUCUAAAAUAUUGGCCCAUAACUAAUAGUUCCAAGGAGGUUAUGUUCCUUGGUGAGUUGGAGGAAGUGUUAGAAGCUACCCAGGCAGCAGAAUUUCAGCGUUGCAUGAUUCCUUUGUUCCGUCAAAUUGGCCGCUGUCUCAACAGCUCACAUUUUCAGGUGGCUGAACGUGCAUUGUUUUUGUGGAACAAUGAUCACAUAAGGAAUUUGAUCACACAAAACCGUAAAGCAAUACUGCCUAUAAUCUUCCCUGCUUUGGAGAGAAACACAAGAGGUCACUGGAACCAAGCUGUUCAGAGUCUAACACUGAACGUGAGGAAGAUAUUCUCAGAUGCUGAUCAAGAACUUUUUGAUGAGUGCUUGGUUAAAAUCCCAAGAGGAUGAAGUAAAGGAGAGAGAUAUACAGGAGAAAAGAGAAGCAACAUGGAAGAGAUUGGAGGAGGUGGCAGCCUCAAAGUCCAUAAGCAAUGAGGCUGUGCUCGUCUCAAGAUUUGCCUCCUCUGUAGCAAUUGCAUCUGCAACAAGUCCAUGUGCUACUGCUGGUUGUUGAGCGCCUCGGUGGGUGUUUAACUGUUGAAGUUACCUCUUUUUGUGGUUGAACGAUACAUGAGGGGAUCUCAUUGGCAUGAUAGGGAAACUGUUGCUUGGCUUAUUUCCUGGGCUUCUCAUAUCAUCUCAUCAACAGGAUAAGCGCAUGCAGGGUUCUGAGGGAACAGGUUUAUUCUAUUUUUGGAUGGUCUGGGCUCAUUCAGUUUUAUUUUCUCUUCAGCCAUUAAAGUGUAUGUGUGUAUUAUAAGGGAUGGGAUUGGUUUAUAGAGGCAGUCUUUCAGAUUUCCUACCUGAUAAUAUUUAUUUUCUGUAAUGAUGCAAAGAGGAAUUUUCCUUCUGUGUUUCA